UUGAGUUUUAUGUCAAAACUAAAAAUAAACUUUACUUUGCACACGACAAUAUUGUCACAAUUCUCAAAUUUCUUUACAAUUCUUUUUACGACUAUCUAUAAAUCACAAAAAUUCCAAAAAUAUUUCUUUAUAUAUUUUGUUUAUUUUCAUCAGUAAAACAAUGUUUUCAAAGAUUAUGCUGCAUGUUUUACACAAAAUUCGUUCCUCAAAUUUGGCCUUGCACUUGCACUGACACUGGAACUGGUCUCGCUCUGUCCCAAUAGAUGCGUCGCAAAAGCUCUUGGAUGGAGUUGCCUCGGUUCCUGCGUCGCAGUAGAUCUUAGCUGAAGUUGCCUCGGUUCCUGCGUCGCAGUAGAUCUUAGCUGCAGGCUCCUCAGGAUAUUCUUAAGGUCAUCUAAAAGUUACUGGAUUUUGAGGAUGUCAAAAAUGUAAUUGUAUAAAAAAAUGUAUCUUAGUGUAAAAACUAAGGAUGAAGGAUGAAGGAUUUUUAUACCAUCAACGUUUCCUAGACUUUUCAUUUACAUUCAAAUCUUGGCAUCAUUUAAAUCACUCCAAAAAGCAGAUUCCUAACAAACCUAACUCUCCUAACAAUAAUCACAAUUUUCCCACUAAAAAAUUGUUUUCUUUCCCAUUCAUUUUCCAAUUCAAAUACUUAGUGAGUUAUAGAAAAUAUAUUUUCUGAAUGGA